GACGAACGCUGGCGGCGUGCUUAACACAUGCAAGUCGAACGGAAAGGCCCUGCUUUUGUGGGGUGCUCGAGUGGCGAAAGGGUGAGUAACACGUGAGUAACCUGCCCUUGACUUUGGGGUAACUUCAGGAAAAUGGGGCUAAUACCGGAUAGGAGCUCCUGCUGCAUGGUGGGGGUUGGAAAGUUUCGGCGGUUGGGGAUGGACUCGCGGCUUAUCAGCUUGUUGGUGGGGUAGUGGCUUACCAAGGCUUUGACGGGUAGCCGGCCUGAGAGGGUGACCGGCCACAUUGGGACUGAGAUACGGCCCAGACUCCUACGGGAGGCAGCAGUGGGGAAUAUUGCACAAUGGGCGGAAGCCUGAUGCAGCAACGCCGCGUGCGGGAUGACGGCCUUCGGGUUGUAAACCGCUUUCGCCUGUGACGAAGCGUUAGUGACGGUAAUUGGUUAAGAAGCACCGGCUAACUACGUG
rnacentral:rRNA from 1 species